rnacentral:rRNA from 1 species
UACGUAGGUGGCAAGCGUUGUCCGGAUUUACUGGGCGUAAAGAGCGCGCAGGCGGUCGUUCAAGUCGCGUGUGAAAGCCCCCGGCUCAACUGGGGAGGGUCACGCGAUACUGUUCGACUCGAAGGCAGGAGAGGGAAGUGGAAUUCCCGGUGUAGUGGUGAAAUGCGUAGAUAUCGGGAGGAACACCAAUGGCGAAGGCAGCUCGCUGGGACGGUACUGACGCUGAGGCGCGAAAGCGUGGGGAGCAAACAGG